GAUAUAAUAAAGUGAGAGAGUGAAAAUUAAGAAGGCAUGAGAGAAAACGGAGAAAGGGUGGGAAUUGAGGAUGAAUCAAAGAAGCAUAAGUCGGAAAAUAAGUGCUCAUGGAAAGUAAAAUAAAAGAGAAGCUGAUAAAUAUAAGAGAGUGAAAUAACGAUGUUUUGGAAGUGGUGUGAGGCAGAGGAGGAAGGGUGGGGCGUGAGGAAGAGGUGGGGAUGUAUAACCCGGAAAAAGAAAUGGUUACACAAGGAAGAUAAGCGCUGUGAAAGAGGGCGUUAAUGAAUGUUAUAAAAACGAGAGGAAAUAAACGAGUGAAAGGAAGUCAUUCAGAAGCGUUGAGAGGAUGGAGAGGAAACACAUGGAGUAGAAAAAAAGAAAGUUGAUUAAAUACUGAAGGAAAACGAAGGGAAGAACACUGAUGGUUGAUUCGAAAGAAGGAAAAGGAGAAUUAUGAGGAAAGGAUGCAAGAGGAGCAGGAGGAGGAGGAGGAGGAGGAGCAGGAGUAUAAGCAGGAAGGAGAAUCUAUACUCGUUGAAAAGCAGAGCAAAACUAAACAGAGCAAAAAGUGAAAAGUGUGCGAAGAGGAGGAAGAGUAGAAAGAAAAAGAACAAGAAGAAAAGAAAAGAAGAAGAAAAAGUAGAAGAAGAGGAGGAGGAGGAGAAACAGGAAAAGGAGGGACAAGACAAAGAGCACCACCGGGAUGAUAAGGAGAAAACAAAACUACUGUAACACAAAGAAAAACUAAUCUCCCAAGCAGAGAGUGACGAUAGAGCGAUUACAUAAGCAGGAAAUCCGCUGGAUGAAGUGUCGUCAGGAGCACCGGGGGAAGAGACUGAUACACUGGAGGGAGAGAGCGCUGGGCCAGGGAAGGGGUAGGUGAAGGCGGUGGUGGGGAGUCUGACUGGUGUGAGAUGGAAUAGAGGUGCAAGAGAAGGAGGUGUGCUGGUGAUUAGUAUUGUAAGGAAGAGAAGGAUGAGAUGGAAUAUAAAUGAAAUGGACGGAAAUGUGAUGGUGUUUAGUGUGAUCAGGAAGUUGGUUUAUGAUAGAAUUAAAGGGCAAUAGGAGGAGAUAAGUUCGUAGGUGUUUGAUAUUAUAAUGAAGAAGAGCAUGAGGCAGGGAAAGGUUCGUUGGUUCGAGAUGGAAUAUAAAUGAAAUAGACGGAAAUGUGAUGGUGUUUAGUGUGAUCAGGAAGUUGGUUUACGAUAGAAUUAAAGGGCAAUAGGAGGAGAUAUGUUCGUAGGUGUUUGAUAUUGUAAUGAAGAAGAGCAUGGGUCAGGGGAAGGUUCGUUGGUUUGAGAUGGAAUAUAAAUGAAAUAGACGGAAAUGUGUUGGUGUUUAGUGUGAUCAGGAAGUUGGUUUACGAUAGAAUUAAAGGGCAAUAGGAGGAGAUAUGUUCGUAGGUGUUUAAUAUCAUAAGGAAGUAGAGGAUAAGUCAGGGAAAGGCUUGCUGGUUGGAGAUGGAAUAAAAGUGCAAUAGAAAGUUAUAUAGAAGAAUUAUGAGGAUGCUAGUUAGUAGUUAAUGAGACUGGCAUGGAACGCAAAGCUAAAAGUAGGAAAGAAAGAGGAAAAAGUAAAAAAGAAAGGUAGAAAAAAAAGAGGAAGAGGUCAGUGGAGUUAGCGGAAGUCUGGCUGGUUUAAGAUUGAAUAAAAGUGGAGUAAAGAGUCAUUCACAAGAGUUACGAGGAGAUAAAAGUAAAUGAGAAAGAGGAAAAGUUCAAAGAUAGAAAUAAAAAAGAAAGAGGAAGAGGUCAGUGGAUUUAGUAUAGAAUUUGCCUGGUUAGAGAGAUCAAUAGAGAUGCAAGAGAUAAAAAUUCAAGAGUUGUGGGGAUGGAGUGUAAAUAUGAAAGUAGGAAAAAAAGAGGAAAAGGUCAAAGAUAAAAGUAAGAAUCGAAGAGGCAGAGGUCAGGACAGUUAGUGGAAGUCCGAGUGGUUUUAAAUUGAACAAAAGUGCAGUAGACUUGUAAGGAGAGAAGACAAACAUGAAAGUAGGAAGGAAUGAGGAAGGGGUCAACGAUAAAAGAAUAAAAGAAAGAGGGGAAGAGGUCGGUGGAGUUAGGGGAAGUCUGGCAAUAAACGUACAAUAGAGAGUCAUACAGAGGCGUUAUGAGGAUGGGGCGCAGACAUAAAAAAGUGGUGAAAAAAAGUUGGUUAUAUACGGAAGGAAAACGAAGGGCAAGGGAACACUUCUGGGUGAUUCGAAAGAAGGAAAAUAAGAGCUAUGAGGAGUGUUUGUUAUCGUAAGCAAGCAGAAAGUAGGAAAAAAGUUUGUCACACAGGGAAGUAAAACGAAGGGAAAGAGAACACUGCUGAUUAAUUAGAAAAAAAAGGAGGAAAAGAGCUAUAAAGAGGUUUAGGAUCAUAAGGAAAGAGAAAACAGGAAAGAACGUUGGCCACACAGGGAAGGGAAACAAAGGGAAAGAGAGCAUUAUUGGUUGAUUCGAGAGAAGGGGAAGCAAGAACUAUUAGGAUAUUUACUAUUAUAGGGAAGGAGAGCGUGAGGGAUGUUGAUACAGCAAACCUAAAGAGAUCCACAGAACAGCAUCAACAAGCAAAAGAAAACGAUGGCAAGACAGGCGGAGACACAAACUUAGACAUUUCCCUCCGCUCAAAUACGACAAUGAAGAAAAGAAUUAAGAGCAGGAAAGAGUUUGGUGUGAAGAUAAUGACAACGCAGUGAAGGAAGACAAACUUAAAGAAGAAUAAGAGAUAAAAUAAUAAGAUAAUGAGUGUUGGCUUCAAAGGGAAUAAAAGAAUCGUGCCGGAGAGAAUAACAGACACAUAGAGAAAGGAAAGAUGCGUGUUUUCAGCAAAUGACCGGAGGCUUGGGAGUGUGAAAAAGAAGGAAACACUAUUAUUACUAUUGGCACCAUUACUACUACUACUACUACUACUACUACUACUACUACUACUUUUAACACUAUUACUACUAUUAACACUUCAUUGGACAUCCGCCAGCUCUGAACACAAAGGGCACACAAAGAAAGGGAACCUGCAAGUCUUCAGUAACUGGUAAUUUGCUGAGGACUGAGAACGAAAAAAGGAAAAAAUAUAUUAAUACACUCAGGAAAAACACGACUCCACUUGCAACGUCCAAGGUCUGAGUGUAUCCAUCUCCACCAUUACGUCAUUUCCUCUACAAUACAAGACAUUCAUUAAUAAGACCAGCAAGGGACCGGACAUUAGUGAGAGCAAUAUAUCUAUUCAGAGCAAGGCUUCUAUAGAGAGGGUGCAGGAAUAUGGCCAACGAGGGACUGGGGAUCCAUUACGGGGCACAAUUUAUCGCUAAGAGCAAGGAUGCGGUAACUCGGGGCACAAAAACCUCGUCACACCACAUUUGAGACGCACUGUGAUUUACGGCGUUGGGUUUGUAAAGCAGAACCAGUUGCACAUGAAAGGUAACCGCGAGACCCCACACCGGAGCGUUCAAGGAGACAUUACAGUAAAGAGAUAACGAAGGAUGAAAAAAAUGGAGCUGACAGAAUGAGGAAAAGUGGAACUGCCAAACUUGAGAAUAGAAAGACGAACUCCCAGAACGAAGAAAAAAAAUCGUACUCCCAGAAUAAAGAAGUCGUAUUCCCAGAAUGAAGAAAAAACUCGUACUGCCAAAAUGAAAAAAAAAUCGUACUGCCAGAAUGAAGAAAAAAAGUCGUACUGCAAGAAUGAAGAAAAAAAGUCGUACCACCAGAAUGAAGAAAAAAAGUCGUACUGCCAGAAUGAAGAAAAAACUCGUACUGCCAAAAUGAAAAAAAUUCGUGCUGCCAGAAUGAAGAAAAAAAGUCGUACUGCCAGAAUGAAGAAAAAAGUCGUACUGCCAGAAUGAAGAAAAAAGUCGUACUGCCAGAAUGAAGAAAAAAGUCGUACUGCCAGAAUGAAGAAAAAAGUCGUACUGCCCGAAUGAGAGAAAAACGAACUGCAGAAUUUACAGAAUUAUAAAAAAAAGACGAACUCCCAGAAUGAAAAGGAAAGUCGAAAUGCCAGAAUGAGAAAAAAGUUGAAGUACUAGAACGAGAAAAACGUCCCCUUGCCAGAGUACCACAGAGAGGAACCUGUUUAGCAGCAAAGGUGAUCCCGACCCCCGCAUGAGGCUUCAAGGCCACACCAGAACUUGAUUUGAGGAGGAAACGUCAGAGCUGCUGUUGGUUUGGUGUCGUGAUGCGAGGAGGGAUUUUUUUUCACAGUCAAGGAAAAUAAAGCAGGAUAAUGACUGUUGGAUUAAAAGAGAAUGAAAGAAUUGUGUCAAAGAACCAAUUAAUAAGAGUGUUAAUAAAGAAGGAAUAUGUACAACCACUUUAUUAGCACUUCAAACUUAAGUGAAAAAAUAUACACGAACUCCAAACGUUCAGAAACUGGUUAUUCCCAGAGAACUGAGAAAAGAUAUUAAUGCAACAUGGGAAAACCUGAAUCCGCUUGAAACGUCAGAGAUCUGUGUAUAGUUACCUUCACCAUUAUAUUAUUUCCUCCACAAUACGACAAAACACCCAUUAAUAAGAUCAGCAGGGGACCGGACAUGGUAAGCGCACCGAAACGCAGUCAUAGGAAGCAACAAAACAAAGGUGGCAUUGAACCUCCGCCACAAACUCUGCAAGGAAUGGACGGAAGAACUCGCCCCGCCCUUAACGAUGAGACAUGAUGGAUGCCUUGGGGUAGAAAAUAUUACCAAGCUGGAAUUGUUGGAACCAAGACAAAGACCAACACUUUGUCAUCCAUUUUACAUUAGGGUUUAUGUCUGCAAGAAGUGGAUGGAACACCUUGUCCUAUACCCACAACGAGGAGGCAUGAUAGAUGGAGUUAGAAAAUAUUGCCAAGUUGGAAAUAUUGAAACCAAGAAGAUAUACACUUUGUCAUCCAUUUUACAUCAGGGUUUUCGUCUGCAAGAAGUGGAUGGAAUACCUUCUCCUAUACCCACAACGAGGAGGCACGAUAAAUGGAGUGAGUUAGAAAAUAUUGCCAAGUUGGAAAUGUUGAAACCAAGGCGACUUACUCUUUGUCAUCUGUAUUACAUUAGGAUUUGUAUGCAGACAUGAUUGAUAGAGAGGGACGGAAAGUAAUACCAAGCUGGAAUUCCUGAAACCAAGGAGACUUACACUUUGUCAUUUAUUUCACAUUAGGGUCUUUAUCCAUUUAUUCCGAUUUAUGCAGUAAUAUUUUGGCGGCAGGGGAGUCUGGCGAGGGAUCAGAGCAGAAACGUCAGUAAAGAAAACCGAUGGCGAGCUUCAAAAUAUGCGAAACAAUUUUUUUUUCUUUUUUUCUUUUUUUUAAGAUUAUUGAACCUUUUGAGACUUGCCACGAGCUCCCUUUACCGCAGCACCGUCAGGCGUUUAGAUGAUACAUACAUAAAGGAAAAAAAAAAAACAUACAGGGUUAAGAGAUGAACUAUACACCUGUUUCUGUAUGGCGUUAAUAAACACAAAAAAAUGAGAAAACAUACAUACAAAACAAAAAACAAACAUAUAAAGACAAAUACACACAAAA